UACAGAGGGUGCAAGCGUUGUUCGGAAUUAUUGGGCGUAAAGGGCGCGUAGGCGGUGCGGUAAGUCUGCAGUGAAAUCUCUGGGCUCAACUCAGAGUCUGCUGUGGAAACUGCCGUGCUUGAGUGUGGGAGAGGUGAGUGGAAUUCCCGGUGUAGCGGUGAAAUGCGCAGAUAUCAGGAAGAACACCCGUGGCGAAGGCGGCUCUCUGGGACGGUACUGACGCUGAGACGCGAAAGCGUGGGGAGCGAACAGG
rnacentral:rRNA from 1 species